rnacentral:misc_RNA from 1 species
GUCGGCACACUCCUCUGUCACACCUUCGUCCUCAGACAGGUACCCAUGGGGCACAAAGAAACCAUCGUCCUCAUCUUCAUCCUCUCCCAUGUCGUCAUCAUCAUCCCCCUCACUGUGGGACAGGGACUCCCCAGGCUCCUCUUCUUCCCACUCCUCAUCACUGUCCACCUCAUAGUCCAGGAGCUUCGUGUCCUGGGCCCAGGGGUCUCGCGCGCGGAUGAGUGCCG